CAAGACUCAAGCAAUGUACAACUUAGACCUAUUUUCAUUACUCACUCUCCUCCACCCCUUAUCCUUCUCUCCCCGGAUACUUGCGAUCUCAUCAUGCAUAAUCAAAAAAGUAGUUGAGGGAUGAAGUUGGAACUGCGAGACUUUGUCUUCAAGUGAAGAAAAGAAAAAUUGUAUGUUUUACUACCAUUUGUUUUUUUUUUUCAAGGUACUACCAUGCUUGUAAAUUACAGUAUCAGUUACAUUUGCUAUUUAAAUAAUCAGAAAAAAAUAGUGAACAAUAAUGCAGGUAACGUACGUAGCUGCAAUUGUGACUGCCACAGAUUCUGAACACAUGCAAUCAAGUUUGGAGUCACUUCUUUCUACCUAGUUUUUUCUACUCCUUUUGAUUAACAGUUUUUCUUUUAGUUAUAUCAAUAUGCAGCUAAAUUAUUUUGAACAUAAGUUACCCUUCAUAUUUUUUUAACAUAUAAUGCCAGGAUAUAAUAUUACUAUUAAGCAUGUUUGGAUCUACCUUAUAUUUCAAAAUUGCACCAUUUUCACAUUUAGCAUAGAAGUUUAUAUGGUUAACUUCUGAUUUUCACAUUCUAUAUACACGUUCUAAGCUGAUGGACUUGGAACCAAACACGUACUUAACUGGCAAGCACUGUUGCGUUAGGUACUUUGGCCCAAUUGCAUCAGACAUGUCACUAUGGCUCUUGUUAAGAUCGUGAUCUUGAAAACCAAACCUUAGGUUAGGUUUGCACUAAAGAACAAAGGAGAAAAUAAAUUUGUGUUUCCUCCUUAGCCAAAAUAAAUAAUCAUGUCUUUUAUUUUUUUUAAUUCUUUAUUAAUUUAUUUUGAGGUUGUUGGCCAAGCCAGUUGUAUAUUCUGGAGUUUUCUGUACCAUGGCUUGUGAUAUAAUUGUUGCUCUAAAACUAAAGCUGAUAACUUUUGGAAAAUAAUUCAUUUCUUUCUACCCCACUAUUUUUUUUUUGUUCCCAAAAAAGAAGUUAUAUAUAUCAACACUAGAGGUUGAGCACUGAGCUCAGCAGAAGUUUCAGAUCACACUGAGUGGGUGGUGACAAUGAAAGGUGAGGAAGGAUUCCUUCUAGGAGUUAUGUAUGUAUGCUUCCUGAAAUUCAGAUGCUAUUGAUCCCAAAGCAGAAUCAGAAACAACCAAACCUAUCACUUUUCUCAUUAUUGUUGGAGUUGGAGUUGGACCACAAGAAUUGUUUUGAGAAUCAUUGUUUUCUAGUGUCGAUAUAUGGAUGGGGAAUUGCAUCCACUCAUAUUGUAAAGUAUUUUAUAUUAAUUAUUCAUUAUUAUGGAUUGUAAGGUGGUGUACAUUUAAAUAAUUAUUAUGAUAAUAAAUUUUAUUGGAAUUUUAAAAAAUUUGAUUUUGCUAGCUUAAGUAGAAAUGCAAAAUUGUGACAUGUAACCGACUUCCAUCUUCUUUUGAAGUUUAUGCUACAUCUCAGGCUUUUUGUUUGCAUGUAACACUUAAAAAGUGUGAGAUAUAUAUCAUUAGGGUGUUGCUAGGUGCACAUAACAUUAUUGUUGGUGCACCCAGCACUUAAGCAAAAAAGAUGCAAAUACCCCUUAAUUUAAAUUAAAACUUGUACACCCAGCAUCACCAGCUCUUCUGCGCGUUCCUUCCGCUGUGACCUUCUUGCUUCCUGCUUCCUUCUUUGCAAGUUUGGUUCCGCGCCUCCUCCCUUCCGCCGUUCAUCUUCUUGUGAACGUACGUCUUUGACAUUGCCAACGGCGUGGUUGCUCCUGCGCUUUCGUCUUCCUUUUGCAACUACUGUUCCUCUUGCGCAUUCGUCUUCUUCUCUUUUGUUGCUGCUCCAUCGAGAUCAUGGUUAAGACUAGAGGAUUAGGCCAUGCCUUAGGUAGGGUUGUUGGCAGAGGUCUGGGGAGAGGGGAUGGUGAUGAUUCUGACGGUGCUCCCCAACACCGAAGGCCGACUGCAUCGGCACACAGGCGACGGGUAACUGUCAUUGUUGACGAUGUUGUGCCUGCGGUACCUGCAGACUCGUCUGCGGUACCAGAGACAGAGGCUGUUGUAGCUAGGGAUGAACCCAUGGUAGAUGCUGACGCACAGGACACCGGUCCAGAUACUGACGCACAAGAUAUUGGUACACAGGAUGCUGCAGAUGAGCCUGAGGGAUUUCUUGGUGGACCCAAGGACCCAUCAGUGCUUACGGAGUAUGCUGACCAUGUUGCGGCCAACGUAUGGUCUGGACAGGAAUGUCCUGAGUUGAUGUUAUGCUCCCAUGGGAGGAAGGAACAUAACUUAGGCAGGCUUGUUCCUGCAAUUGAUGACAUGGUUGCUGGGAUAGGAUUAAGUCCUUUGAUCGCGUGUUCGAUAGACACCGGCGAUCGGGGACUUAUAUCCUCCUUUGCCGAUAGGUGGCACUAGGAGACUUCUAGUUUCCAUCUUCCUGUGGGGGAGGUUUCGAUCACGCUGGACGAAGAUGCAUCUCUUCUCCAUUUGCCUAUCGUUGGCACAUUCCAUGACUUCCAGCCUCUACGCACCGACGAGGUGGUGGUGCUGUUGGUUGAGUUACUGAUGGUCUUAGCAGAGGUGGCCAUGACUGAGACAGGCCAAUAUGGUGGACCAUAUGUACGCCUGCAGUGUCUGCGAGACGUAUACCAGUGCAGAUGUCAGACGCAGCACUGGAUAGCUGCCGCUCGUGCUUAUCUUCUACAUCUUUUGGGUUGCACUCUUUUUGCUAAUAAGAGUGCAACCCAUGUUCAUGUCUCACACUUACAGGCCCUGUGUUACCUUACUCUUGCUGGGCGGUAUGCAUGGGGAGCUGCUGACCUCGUCCAUAUGUACGAUCAGCUUAAUGAUGCCAGUCUCAACACCAGCCGACAGCUUGCUGGUUACAUCACCUUGUUAUAGUGUUGGAUAUACGAGCACUUUCCAUCAGUUGCGGAGUGCAAUGCUGAUCUGGACUACGACGAGGUGUCACCACAUGUGUGUUGGUGGAUUACAACAAAGAAGACUAUGAAGAAGGUAUCUACAGCGAUGUACAGGCAGCGCCUGGAUCAUUUGAGGAUCCCAGAUGUCUGUUGGAUGCCAUAUACGGAGCACCAACCUGUGCAGGACUUUCAUCCGAUUUCGUGCUUCUCAGGACAGCUCCGCUGGGGGCCUGUUGUUAUCAGAUACAGACUGGAGAGGGUUAUGCACCAGUUCAGCUACGUCCAGUGCAUUCUUGCACACUCUGUCCAUUCAUGGGUGUCAUAUGAUGACGUGGACAAUACUUGGAUGCACUACUCAGACCAUCUGGUGGCAGCAGGUAAUCUAUGUGUUAUGCCAGUCAGUGUGCACCUGACUACAUAGACUGGUUCUUCGUCAUAUCGCAUCCAUUCAUGAUUGUGCCAUAGACGGAUCCUCCUCGAGAUGCAUAUGCGAUGCAGCCCAAUCAUAUCCCUCAUGAGGCAGCAUUGGCAUCGACACAAGCGGAUCUUGAUGCGGAUGAGCCCAGACAUGCAGUGGAGGCUUGCCAUGCGAUCACGGAGGCGUUGGAGCAGCAUCUAAAUGCACCAGGCACAUCCACACAUGAAGAGGUCAUCCAAAAAUGCCUAAGCAUUGUGAGGGGUGUCACAGAAGACCGCAAUGUGUAUGUGAGGUCUCGACGUAGGUGCCACACGGAUCAACAAUAAUUUAUUCACACUUUAGAUGUCAUUAGUUUUUUACGAUGUAUUUGACUUAACAUUUUGUAUAUUUUAAGUUAUUUUGAUUAAUAAUAUUAGUUUAUAA